rnacentral:rRNA from 1 species
AAGUCGUAACAAGGUUUCCGUAGGUGAACCUGCGGAAGGAUCAUUAAUGAAUACUUUCAGUCGUCCGAGUUGUGCUGGCAGUAACAUGCAUGUGAACACUCGGGCGCAAAUCCACACCCCUGUGAACUUCUUACUUGGGACACGGCUGGAUACAACGUGACCCCCGAGGCUAUUUUCCACUCCUGAAUGUAACGGAAUGUCUUACUGUACAAUGUACAAAACUUAAACAACUUUCAACAACGGAUCUCUUGGCUCUCGCAUCGAUGAAGAACGCAGCGAAAUGCGAUAAGUAAUGUGAAUUGCAGAAUUCAGUGAAUCAUCGAAUCUUUGAACGCACCUUGCACCCUUUGGUAUUCCGAAGGGUACACCCGUUUGAGUGUCAUUGUAAUCUCACCUCUAUGACUUUAUUGUCGUGGAAUGUGGACUUGGACGUUGUGGUGUAACAAACCGCUCGUCUCAAAUGCUUGAGUGUACCCUGCUUUGCGGCGUAUUCGGUGUGAUAACAUCUUCACCGGAGCCAGUUGCAAGACGCGCUAUCAUGGUUAGGCCCUGCGCUUCAAACCGUCUUCGGACAAUCUCUGACAAUUUGACCUCAAAUCGGGUGGGACUACCCGCUGAACUUAAGCAUAUCAAUAAGCGGAGGAAAAGAAACUAACAAGGAUUCCCCUAGUAACGGCGAGUGAAGAGGGAAAAGCUCAAAUUUUAAAUCUGGUAUCUUUGGUGCCCGAGUUGUAAUCUAGAGAAGUGUUUUCCGCGUUGGACCGUGUACAAGUUCCCUGGAACGGGGCGUCAUAGAGGGUGAGAAUCCCGUAUAUGCCACGGACUACCAUUGCUAUGUGAUACACUCUCAACGAGUCGAGUUGUUUGGGAAUGCAGCUCAAAAUGGGUGGUAAAUUCCAUCUAAAGCUAAAUAUUGGCGAGAGACCGAUAGCGAACAAGUACCGUGAGGGAAAGAUGAAAAGCACUUUGGAAAGAGAGUGAAACAGUACGUGAAAUUGUUGAAAGGGAAGCGUUUGAAGUCAGUCACGACUAUUGGGAUUCAGCCUGGCUUUUGCCUGGUGUAUUUUCUAGUAUUCGGGUCAGCAUCAGUUUUGACCGAGGGAAAAAGAUCUACGGAAUGUGGCUUUCUUCGGGAAGUGUUAUAGCCUUAGGUUGUAUGCCUCGGUUGGGACUGAGGUACGCAGCGCGCCACUAAUAGGCCGGGGGUUCGCGCCCCUCGACUCGCGCUUAGGAUGCUGGCAUAAUGGCUUUAAGCGACC